UACGUAGGGUCCAAGCGUUAUCCGGAAUCACUGGGCGUAAAGCGUGCGUAGGUGGCGUGUUAAGUGUGAUGUUAAAUCGUGUGGCUCAACCAUAUCGAUGUGUCGCAUACUGGCAUGCUAGAGGACAGCAGAGGCAAGUGGAAUUUGUAGUGUAGCAGUGAAAUGCGUAGAUAUUACAAGGAACACCAAUGGCGAAGGCAGCCCCCUGGGCCAACACUGACGCUCAGGCACGAAAGCGUGGGGAGCAAACAGG
rnacentral:rRNA from 1 species